rnacentral:lncRNA from 1 species
UUUGGAUUUCCUUGCUUUUGUUUGGCCUAGGUUUUUUGUUUUAAUAUGUGUGCUCCCCUUUUUCCUUUCUUGUUUGCAGGAUUUGGUUCUGUGUUCUUUUUUUUUUUUUUAAUGUUGAAACCUUUUUCUGGUUUUUUCCCUUUCUGUUUCCAUCACUCUCGCUCCCCUUUGGCUUUUAGAGAUUAAGCAAGAGAUUGAAUAGUUUCCAUUUUCCCUUCUUCUCCAUUUCUUUUAUUCUUCUUUUUACCCUUAACCAAUCAUCUUUUUUUUUUGACUGAUAGCAUGUUAAAUUUGCAUGUUUUUUGUGUUUAAAUCGGUUAAUUCUUG